AGAGUUUGAUCCUGGCUCAGAACGAACGCUGGCGGCAGGCUUAACACAUGCAAGUCGAGCGGGCGCUUUCGGGCGUCAGCGGCGGACGGGUUAGUAACGCGUGGGAACGUGCCCUUUGCUCUGGAAUAGCCCUGGGAAACUGGGGGUAAUACCGGAUGUGCCCUGAGGGGGAAAGAUUUAUCGGCAAGGGAUCGGCCCGCGUCUGAUUAGGUAGUUGGUGUGGUAACGGCGCACCAAGCCGUUGACGGGUAGCUGGUCUGUGAGGACGAUCAGCCAGACUGGGACUGCGACACGGCCCAGACACCUACGGGUGGCAGCAGCGAGGAACCUUCCACAAUGGGCGCAAGCCCGAUGGAGCAACGCCGCGUGGAGGACGACGGCCUUCGGGUUGUAAACUCCUUUCGGGAGGGAUGAUACGGACAGUACCUCCAAAAGAAGCCCCGGCUAACUCUGUGCCAGCAGCCGCGGUAAUACAGGGGGGGCAAGCGUUGUCCGGAAUUACUGGGCGUACAGCGCGCGCAGGCGGUCCACUACGUGCCGUGUGACAGACGUCGGCUUAACCGACGUAGGCCAGGGUACACGGGUGAACUUGAGGCAGAGAGAGGGAUGUGGAAUACCCGGUGGAGCGGUGAAAUGCGUAGAGAUCGGGUGGAACACCAGGGGCGAAGGCGGCAUCCUGGCUCUGUACUGACGCUGAGGCGCGAGAGCGUGGGGAGCAAACCGGAUUAGAUACCCCAGUAGUCC
rnacentral:rRNA from 1 species